GUGGCUGAGGCACUAAAAAAGGCCUGUCAUAUUCUUCCCCACGGCCUUCGAAAAGUGUGUGAUGCGAUAUUUGGGAAGUACUUCAAGCAGGUAGUGGAUUUACUCCUGGAAGAAGCUGCACCAACGGUCAUAUGCAUUGCUAUCCGCAUGUGUAAACUGCAUAGGGAAGCUUUUGUGGAAAAAUGUGAGGCCUGCUCACCACCGUUCUCUGGCGUCCAUGAUGAUGCCCUCAGAAUGUUUGCUUCAUCCAACUAGGGGUAGGACCAAGACUGUGAGCUGGUUCAUGAUGACCCCACUGAUGAUCCAAGUCUUUCUACAAGUCAGAAAAACUCUGUCUUGUUAUUUUAUGCCCCCAGAAGCUGCCCCUGAGUAAUUAUCUUGAUGUGUUUUAUGUUAUGAUUUUGCAUUGUACCCAUGUAGCCUACAUGGAGGAAAUAAUACCUGACAAAA